UCUCGGAAAAGAGGCCACACCGAGGCAACUUUUCAUUUCAACACACAAUCCAAAGUAUCCUUCCAAAAGUACCAUGUCAUCCAAAGCGAAGGCACACCAGUACGAAAGCUAUCUCCAUUUUUGGUGGCCAAGUGCCUGAAAGAAAGAAAUUCGACCCAAGUACAAAGUUUCGAAAAUGUCAAGCGGUCACCUGCUCCUAGAGCUAGCCGAAAAAGAACAAGUAUCAAAGCUCUCCGAACUCGCCCGCAUUGGUGACACUACCGUAACAAUUUCUGUCCACAGAUCCCUUAACACCAGCAGGGGAGGAAUAUCUGAAGAAGAUUUCUUAGGCCUAAGUGACAAGGAGCUCCUCGAGGGGUUUCAGGAUCAAGACGUCAUAAAGGUACUGCUCCGAUCAACCACAAGCAAACCAGUUUUCGAACUACAGCCUGAUGACUUAUCAGCUCAGUUUUUGCCGGACGGUGAACCUUUGUUCAACUGCUCGACAUGGGAAUCAAGCGACAUUGACCAAAACGACGGAAAUCAACGAGUGUGCCUCGCAGCUGAAAUUGGCCGCUGCCGGUCAACCAUCCGUGGACUGAUCGCACAGACGACUGCAGCCUACAAAUAGCACAGAUCUUCACUCGGCGCUUGGGGCAUGGAACCGGUGCAGAUAUGACUGCACUGCUAACGCUUACGCUGUUAUUUCUGCAGGCUGACCACCAAAACAGUGUGAAUAUGGGUCCUUAGGAGCUUGAAUGCCACCAGGUACCAAUGCUCUGCUCGUUGUGGACAAGUACGACGAAGACAGCACCUGCCUUUGUGCAAUACUUCUGAAUGCUUCUUCAUUGUGACUAAUGCAAAACUGUUGUGCAAUUUAACCUUUGUUUACUUCACUAAAAUAAUAAAUGAG
rnacentral:lncRNA from 1 species